rnacentral:tRNA from 1 species
AGCAGAGUGGCGCAGUGAAAGCGUGCUGGGCUAGUAACCCAGAGUCUGCAGAUCGAAACUACGCUUUGCUA